rnacentral:rRNA from 1 species
AUUAGUUAGUUGGUGAGGUAACGGCUCACCAAGGCGAUGACGGGUAGCCGGUCUGAGAGGAUGUCCGGCCACACUGGAACUGAGACACGGUCCAGACACCUACGGGUGGCAGCAGUCGAGAAUCAUUCACAAUGGGGGAAACCCUGAUGGUGCGACGCCGCGUGGGGGAAUGAAGGUCUUCGGAUUGUAAACCCCUGUCAUGUGGGAGCAAAUUAAAAAGAUAGUACCACAAGAGGAAGAGACGGCUAACUCUGUGCCAGCAGCCGCGGUAAUACAGAGGUCUCAAGCGUUGUUCGGAAUCACUGGGCGUAAAGCGUGCGUAGGCUGUUUCGUAAGUCGUGUGUGAAAGGCGCGGGCUCAACCCGCGGACGGCACAUGAUACUGCGAGACUAGAGUAAUGGAGGGGGAACCGGAAUUCUCGGUGUAGCAGUGAAAUGCGUAGAUAUCGAGAGGAACACUCGUGGCGAAGGCGGGUUCCUGGACAUUAACUGACGCUGAGGCACGAAGGCCAGGGGAGCGAAAGGGAUUAGAUACCCCUGUAGUCCUGGCAGUAAACGGUGCACGCUUGGUGUGCGGGGAAUCGACCCCCUGCGUGCCGGAGCUAACGCGUUAAGCGUGCCGCCUGGGGAGUACGGUCGCAAGAUUAAAACUCAAAGAAAUUGACGGGGACCCGCACAAGCGGUGGAGUAUGUGGCUUAAUUCGAUGCAACGCGAAGAACCUUACCUGGGCUUGACAUGUAAUGAACAACAUGUGAAAGCAUGCGACUCUUCGGAGGCGUUACACAGGUGCUGCAUGGCCGUCGUCAGCUCGUGUCGUGAGAUGUUUGGUUAAGUCCAGCAACGAGCGCAACCCCUGUUGCCAGUUACCAGCACGUGAAGGUGGGGACUCUGGCGAGACUGCCCAGAUCAACUGGGAGGAAGGUGGGGACGACGUCAGGUCAGUAUGGCCCUUAUGCCCAGGGCUGCACACGUACUACAAUGCCCAGUACAGAGGGGGCCGAAGCCGCGAGGCGGAGGAAAUCCUAAAAACUGGGCCCAGUUCGGACUGUAGGCUGCAACCCGCCUACACGAAGCCGGAAUCGCUAGUAAUGGCGCAUCAGCUACGGCGCCGUGAAUACGUUCCCGGGUCUUGUACACACCGCCCGUCACAUCAUGGAAGCCGGUCGCACCCGAAGUAUCUGAAGCCAACCGCAAGGAGGCAGGGUCCUAAGGUGAGACUGGUAACUGGGAUGAAGUCGUAACAAGGUAGCCGUAGGGGAACCUGCGGCUG